UCCUCCUGAGUAAGAGUUCUUUUCUUCAUU
rnacentral:piRNA from 1 species